rnacentral:rRNA from 1 species
CCCUUAGACGUUCUGGGCCGCACGCGCGCUACACUGACCAGUGCAACAAGCAUCCGUCCUUGGCCGACAGGCUCGGGCAGUCUUUGAACGCUGGUCGUGAUGGGGAUAGACUUUUGCAAUUUUUGGUCUUCAACGAGGAAUUCCUAGUAAACGCAAGUCAUCAACUUGCAUUGAUUACGUCCCCGCCCUUUGUACACACCGCCCGUCGCACCUACCGAUUGAAUGGUCCGGUGAAAUCUCGGGACGGCGGCUUGGUCGCUUGCGUCCGACUGCUGAAACUUGAUUAAACCAUAUCAUUUAGAGGAAGGUGAAGUCGUANCA